rnacentral:rRNA from 2 species
ACGGGAGGCAGCAGUGGGGAAUAUUGCACAAUGGGCGAAAGCCUGAUGCAGCGACGCCGCGUGAAGGAAGAAGUAUUUCGGUAUGUAAACUUCUAUCAGCAGGGAAGAAAAUGACGGUACCUGACUAAGAAGCCCCGGCUAACUACGUGCCAGCAGCCGCGGUAAUACGUAGGGGGCAAGCGUUAUCCGGAUUUACUGGGUGUAAAGGGAGCGUAGACGGCAAUGCAAGUCUGAAGUGAAAGGCAUGGGCUCAACCUGUGGACUGCUUUGGAAACUGUAUGGCUAGAGUGUCGGAGAGGUAAGCGGAAUUCCUAGUGUAGCGGUGAAAUGCGUAGAUAUUAGGAGGAACACCAGUGGCGAAGGCGGCUUACUGGACGAUGACUGACGUUGAGGCUCGAAAGCGUGGGGAGCAAACAGGAUUAGAUACCCUGGUA